AAAAUGUCCACUGAGGCACAGAGAGUCGACGACAGUCCGGGCACUAGUGGGGGAAGCUCCGAUGGAGACCAGCGUGAGAGUGUCCAGCGGGAACCAGAGAGAGAGCAGGUUCAGCCCAGGAAGAAGGAGGGGAAGAUAUCCAGCAAAACAGCUGCCAAACUGUCUACUAGUGCUAAAAGAAUUCAGAAGGAACUUGCAGAAAUUACGUUGGACCCACCCCCCAACUGUAGUGCUGGACCCAAAGGAGACAACAUUUAUGAAUGGAGGUCAACUAUAUUGGGACCCCCAGGAUCUGUCUAUGAAGGAGGGGUGUUCUUUCUUGACAUAACCUUUUCACCUGACUAUCCGUUUAAACCCCC